GACGAACGCUGGCGGCGUGCUUAGCACAUGCAAGUCGAACGGAAAGGCCCUGCUUUUGUGGGGUGCUCGAGUGGUGAACGGGUGAGUAACACGUGAGUAACCUGCCCUUGACUUUGGGAUAACUUCAGGAAACUGGGGCUAAUACCGGAUAGGAGCUCCUGCUGCAUGGUGGGGGUUGGAAAGUUUCGGCGGUUGGGGAUGGACUCGCGGCUUAUCAGCUUGUUGGUGGGGUAGUGGCUUACCAAGGCUUUGACGGGUAGCCGGCCUGAGAGGGUGACCGGCCACAUUGGGACUGAGAUACGGCCCAGACUCCUACGGGAGGCAGCAGUGGGGAAUAUUGCACAAUGGGCGGAAGCCUGAUGCAGCAACGCCGCGUGCGGGAUGACGGCCUUCGGGUUGUAAACCGCUUUCGCCUGUGACGAAGCGUGAGUGACGGUAAUGGGUAAAGAAGCACCGGCUAACUACGUG
rnacentral:rRNA from 1 species